GGAGGAUCAUUAUCGUAGGGCUUCGGCCCUGUCGAGAUAGAACCCUUGCCUUUUUGAGUACCUUUCGUUUCCUCGGCAGCCUCGGCUGCCAAUGGGGACCCCAAAAAACACUUUGCAGUACCUGUAACAGUCUGAACAAACAAACAAAAAUUAAAACUUUCAACAACGGAUCUCUUGGUUCUGGCAUCGAUGAAGAACGCAGCGAAAUGCGAUAAGUAGUGUGAAUUGCAGAAUUCAGUGAAUCAUCGAAUCUUUGAACGCACAUUGCGCCCUUUGGUAUUCCUUAGGGCAUGCCUGUUCGAGCGUCAUUUAAACCUUCAAGCUCAGCUUGGUGUUGGGUGACUGUCCGCUUCACCGCGGACUCGCCUCAAAAUUAUUGGCGGCCGGUACAUUGGCUUCGAGCGCAGCAGAAACGCGAACUCGGGCCCGUCGUAUUGGCUCCCAGAAGCUAUCUUCACAAUUUUGACCUCGGAUCAGGUAGGGAUACCCGCUGAACUUAAGCAUAUCAAUAAGCGGAGGA
rnacentral:rRNA from 1 species